rnacentral:lncRNA from 1 species
CCUAUAUCAGCUGCUAAGGUGUUUGCUCAUCUGCAGUGCUGAAGACUGAGAGAGAACGGUGGAGGUUUGUAGACCAUCAGACAUUAUGGGAACAAGCUCUGGAAGGAGAUGGCAAAAGUAUUCUUGCAAUUAGGUGUUGUUAAUCUGUCAUGUCUAAGAAUGACAAAGAGAGAUUCAGUUGCAUUCCACACCAAGCAAAGGAGUCACUUUCAAAGUAAGUUACAACACUGAUCUUCAUUAUGCGGCAGCAAAGACCGAGUUACUAAAAAUUACAUCUUCUGGUUAAAUUUCUUAAAAAACAGGCCCAUGUGAAAGAAAACUGGAAAAGAGUAAUAAAAAGGAUCACGCUCCUCAUCUGAACAUACUGGGACUCUUUGGAAAUGGACCAACAUGUGCAAACCCAGAAAAGAGCACAGUGAGGUGCACCUCCACAGCUGAAAUAUGUUUCAAUCAUACCCAGGCUCUCACUUUGAGGGUAAAAACAGCAACAAUUAUUUUUAAUGUUUUACAAACAGAAUAUAUUGAUGCUGAUGUGAUUCCAACAGUUAGGCCAUGUAUAAUCUACAUGUCCCUUCAAAUGAAAUGAAUUAUCUAACACUUUAUAUUAGUUUUGCAAAAAACACUUUUAUUUAUUUAAAAAAAUUAUUUAUAUUAGUUUUGCAAAAAAAUUUUCAUGGAAUUGCA